GCCUUGGUGUAAGGGUAUAUGAAUAUAGUGAUUUGGACGUUGUGAAUCUAUUCUCAACUAUGGCAGGGAAAUGCUUUACGGCUGUUCCCCUCCUUGUUGCAGUUUCGUCGGGCUCUUGAGUCCAAGGAUACUUCGACUUUUGGACUAAAUGAAAAAUAGCGAAUGACAAAAACCAGCAGCUUAGAAGCUACUUACAAGUAUCCAAAUAAACAAGAAGCCGCAACCACAUCCCCAAUC